GGUGUCGUGGCGCAAUGGUAGCGCGUUGGCUUCCGGUGAUUGAUUGCCAAAGGCUGCAGGUUCGAGUCCUGCCGAUAUCG